UUUAGCCUCAGAUAUAAAAAGUCAGGUUGAAUAAAAAAAAUAAAAUAAUAUUUUUGGAAUAGAGGUAAUGUACGUAUAUCUCUCUCUCAGCUCGCAAGACAAAAAAACACUCGCACAAAAAAAAAGAAAUCGAUACAAUACAACCCUAGCUCUCUCUCGCGAUGCAAACCCAGCGCCGUCCUCCACCGGCGACGAGAUUGAACCUCAGCGCCGUCCUUUAAUCAACUCACCACCACCGCCUUAUCUCAGCAGUCGUUCUCUCUCUCACUCGCGCAGUCGUCCUCUCUCUCUCACUCGCGCAGUCGUCCUCUACCCUCACGAACCCUAACUCCAAAUCGAAGGUUGUCUUUCAUUCUCCAGCCUCUACUCUCACGAAUCGAAGGUUGUCCUCCUUUCUCCGGCCUCUACUCUCACGAAUUGAAGCUUGUCUUUCUCUUUCACAUCGAUUCAGGUUUGAGAGAGUGGUUACAUUUUAUUUCUCAGAGUUAGUAAUAUCCAUUACGAUGCCAAUGUGGAUGGAUGGCGGGAUCUUGAUUGGAGUAGCAAGGCCAUACAUAUUGCUGCUAGAAACCAAACAAAGUGAUAGGUUGAGAUUGUAAGGGAAGAAGGAUUGGAGAUAUCUCAACCAGCUCUUGAUCCAAAUUCGACAGAGAUACAUCAUAGAAUUACAGUUAGAGCUAGGACCAAGAAAGCGCAUAGGUGUUCAAUGAUCCCACGACAUUAACAGAGGAGGAGCUGUAUGAUUUGCGAGACCGUUGGGCAACUUGUUUUCUUGACCUAUAUAAUCCUGAUGUAGAUUAUGAUGAUGCCGAC